GAUCCUGGCUCAGAGCGAACGUUAGCGGCGGGCCUAACACAUGCAAGUCGAGCGAGAAAGGGGCUUCGGCCCCGAGUAAAGCGGCGGACGGGUGAGAAUAUCGUAGGUAACCUGCCUUUCAGUGGGGGACAACGGUCCGAAAGGACCGCUAAUACCGCAUACGUCGUCGCGGACCUCGGUUCGAGACGGGAAAGCUGGGGCAACCUGGCGCUGGAAGAGGGGCCUGCGUCGCAUCAGCUAGUUGGUGGGGUAAUGGCCUACCAAGGCUAAGACGCGUAGCUGGUCUGAGAGGAUGAUCAGCCACACUGGGACUGAGACACGGCCCAGACUCCUACGGGAGGCAGCAGUGGGGAAUAUUGGACAAUGGGCGCAAGCCUGAUCCAGCCACGCCGCGUGAGUGAUGAAGGCCUUCGGGUCGUAAAGCUCUGUGGGGAGGGACGAACCGCCGGUGGCUAAUAUCCAUCGGCAUGACGGUACCUCCUUAGCAAGCACCGGCUAACUUCGUGCCAGCAGCCGCGGUAA
rnacentral:rRNA from 1 species